AUGAGGACAUGUCCUGAAAUAUCGUCUGGCCCAGUGUCUUUACGAGUGUUGACCAGUUUAACUUCAAUGUCUAAGCCGUUGGGGGGUGUUUAUCACCUCUCUUUCAAAAUGUUUAUCACCUCUCUUUCAAAAUGUUUACCACCUCUCUUUCAAAAUGUUUACCACCCCCAUUCAAAAUGUUUAUCACCCCCUUUCAAAAUGUUUACCACCCCCCUUUCAAAAUGUUUAUCACCUCUCUUUCAAAAUGUUUACCACCUCUCUUUCAAAAUGUUUACCACCUCUCUUUCAAAAUGUUUACCACCUCUCUUUCAAAAUGUUUACCACCCCCCCCCAUUCAAAAUGUUUAUCACCCUCCUUUCAAAAUGUUUAUCACCCUCCUUUCAAAAUGUUUACCACCUCUCUUUCAAAAUGUUUAUCACCCCCUUUCAAAAUGUUUACCACCUCUCUUUCAAACAUUUUUCCACCUCUCUUUCAAAAUGUUUGCCAUCUCUCUUUCAAAAUGUUUACCACCCCCCUUUCAAAAUGUUUACCUUUUGUUGGCUUACAGCCUGAAUUGAAAGCACAUAAAAUCAGACUUUUUCUAGCUUUUUUAAAAAACAAACAUUUCGGCACUGAACAGUCUCCAUAUCUGCCAUACUUCCCAUGAUUUUUUUCAAAUGGUAGUGUGAGAUGUAUGGAGAGAAGAGGAGAGGGCCUAGAAAUGAGCCCUGGGGGACACCAGUAGUGAGAGUAUGUAUGGAGAGAAGAGGAGAGGGCCUAGAAUUGAGCCCUGGGGGACACCAGUAGUAAGAGUAUGUAUGGAGAGAAGAGGAGAGGGCCUAGAACUGAGCCCUGGGGGACACCAGUAAUAAGAGUAUGUGGUGCAGACACAGAUCCUCUCCACGUCACCUGGUAGGAGGGGCCUGCCAGGUAGGAUGCAAUCCAAUAGUGUGAGACGCCCAGUCCUGAGAGGGAGGAGAGGAGGAUCUAGAUGCAUGGAGAGAAGAGGAGAGGGACUAGAACUGAGCCCUGGGGGACACCAGUAGUAAGAGUAUGUGGUGCAGACACAGAUCCUCUCCACGUCACCUGGUAGGAGGGACCUGCUAGCUAGGAUGCAAUCCAACAGUGUGCAGAGCCUGAGACGCCCAGUCCUGAGAGGGUGGAGAGGAGGAUCUAGAUGUAUGGAGAGAAGAGGAGAGGGCCUAGAACUAAGCCCUGGGGGACACCAGUAGUAAGAGUAUGUGGUGCAGACACAGAUCCUCUCCAAGUGUGUAGAGCCUGAGACGCCCACCACUUCAUUUUUUCAAUUGGUACUGGGGGACCUUCAGACGAGUCUUGUGAAGCGUGUGGGUGUCUUAGAGCAAAACAAAUGACAUAUCCGUAUUUGUGAGAGUCUCACCUUUCCAUAUUAGUGUGUAGCCCAAACUAUUCGGACACUACAGCCAGAAGUUGACAGAUCUGCUGUGCCAACUUCAGACGAGUCUCAAGAUGCUUGUGGGGUCGCGGCAAAACGGAGAACACCAUCAUAUUCAGGAGAGUCUCAACUUUCCAUAAAUGUGUCAUAGUAUUUUAUAGGCCGAACCGUUCGGACGGUACAGAGGAUUUUGUGAGAAGACCGUUUUUCUCGAUGUCUCAUGGUCUGACAAACACCGCUCUAGCUCUGUCACGUUUAAAAAAAUGACCCCGGUAUGGGGUAUGUUGAGUCGCUGGACAGGGUUAAGUUAAGCCGUCUACACUUUUCUGUACUGAAUGAAAUAUUACCACAACCUUUUAAACACCAUGUCUCUUUAUUUCCCAAUCACAAUCGUUUCCCUUUUCAUUAAUUUAAACAUAUUUUAACACAUGCUUAAAACCCAACAAACACUUUGUACUCUUUUAAAACACUUUUUAACACAGGCCAGGCCCUGUAGUUACCUCAUAUCCCAGUGAUAAUGCCAAGCUUUGUGCCUGUGAAGAAAAUACUUCAGUUAGCUCAACUUGCCAUUGGCUCAACUUACCCCAAGGCAAACAUUUUGACUACAUUAGCCCACACAGCUACAAUAAUAUACUUUCAUGCUAAGUUUAGGGCCUCAUAUUGAAGCUUAUAGAGACCCCAACUGAUGUAGAGAACAAGACAAACAAUGAUUUACUUUGGUUUAAAUGAAACCUCUAACACAAUAAAUUCAUUUGACUUGUUGAAAGUAUGUUUUUUGGACCUAACUCGCUCACCACUUUUUCCAUGUGGUUUCUUCCUUCACAGACUCCAUGAAACGAUUACCUCUUCCUAAAUAUUUGGUCAUAUUAAUAAUUUAGUGUAUUUUUUCCUAGAAUCAAGGGUGGCUCAACUUAACCCUUUGGCUCAAUUUACCUCACUCUCCACUAUGGCCAAUUUUGACUUUACAGCUGGCCCAUUUAGCGGAAAUCGCUCAGUUCUGCCUCCAGGGCAAGAUUUAUGGCAACAAAUGUCCACCUGCCUUGAUUCCUCUUGCUUAGCCAGAGGAUUGGGUUGGAGGUACACAAAGAGCCCAGGGCAGAUUAGUCGAAGUNNNNNNNNNNNNNNNNNNNNNNNNNNNNNNUUUACCACCUCUCUUUCAAAAUGUUUACCACCCCCCCCCAUUCAAAAUGUUUAUCACCCUCCUUUCAAAAUGUUUAUCACCCUCCUUUCAAAAUGUUUACCACCUCUCUUUCAAAAUGUUUAUCACCCCCUUUCAAAAUGUUUACCACCUCUCUUUCAAACAUUUUUCCACCUCUCUUUCAAAAUGUUUGCCAUCUCUCUUUCAAAAUGUUUACCACCCCCCUUUCAAAAUGUUUACCUUUUGUUGGCUUACAGCCUGAAUUGAAAGCACAUAAAAUCAGACUUUUUCUAGCUUUUUUAAAAAACAAACAUUUCGGCACUGAACAGUCUCCAUAUCUGCCAUACUUCCCAUGAUUUUUUUCAAAUGGUAGUGUGAGAUGUAUGGAGAGAAGAGGAGAGGG
rnacentral:lncRNA from 13 species